UACGGAGGGUGCAAGCGUUAUCCGGAUUCACUGGGUUUAAAGGGUGCGUAGGUGGGCAGGUAAGUCAGUGGUGAAAUCUCCGGGCUUAACUCGGAAACUGCCAUUGAUACUAUCUGUCUUGAAUACCGUGGAGGUUAGCGGAAUAUGUCAUGUAGCGGUGAAAUGCUUAGAUAUGACAUAGAACACCAAUUGCGAAGGCGGCUGGCUACACGAAUAUUGACACUGAUGCACGAAAGCGUGGGGAUCAAACAGG
rnacentral:rRNA from 1 species